UCACAAAAAUGAAUGAAAAAAUCAAAUUCGUUAAUGAUCCUUCCGCAGGUUCACCUACGGAAACCUUGUUAC
rnacentral:rRNA from 1 species